CCUUAGAAGUGCAACGAGACUUAUGAAGAUACCUGUCAUCUUUCGAUUGUCAUGGAUACAUCACGUCAAACAAUCAUUAAUUAAUUGUUGAUAUCUCAAGCUCUACAAUUUCGAUAUCUUCCUACGAUUAUAUUAUUCCAAAUUGCCCUUUUUGUUCAUUUUAUAAGAUCAGAAGCGGGAUUGAAGGCCUAUUUCGUUCGAUACCAUCUCUGAUUUUAUAAAUUUGAAGAAUUAUCUAAAUUUUGAUAUGUUCUAAAAUUUUCGAGAAAAUUUUUCAUUGUUCUGUUAACAUUGAGCAGAGAUACUUACAAUACCGUCUGAUAUCUAGCAGACGUAGUAAAACUAAAGAGGGACGUCCUUUGCGGACUCUCUCAACCACUAAUUGUUUGGAAAAGCUUUUACAGUGUUUUCACGUUUGAAGAAAUGUCACGUGCGGGUAUGGAUCCGGUAGCCGCUACUAGUUUCGGUGGUGUUGAUGCAUGCGGGCAGCGAGACGCGGUCCGUGUCGGUGCCGAUUGCGGAGCCUAGCCAGGCUCUGGUGCUGCUUAGCACGUCGUCGUGAGCUUCAGCGCUCUCCGGAGCGCGAGGCUUUGUUGUGCUGUGGCACGACGCCGAGUAAAUCGCUACGGGUUUCGACGCUCUCCGCUAGUACGAGGCCUUCUGCACGUCACUGCCAGACGUAACGCCUCGUCACGGUGUCCGAGUGCGCGCCGCCAGCGCCAGGUUGCAGUCAACGGGUAUCUGAGUGCUACAACAUCGAUGCCGCGCCGUGCAGCGAUAUGCAUAACGCUGCAGACCGUUUGUAUAAACCUAUCGUUCCCUUUUUAUCACUACGAGUGUUCAUGAUAUCGAUAUGGUCUGGUAAAAUACUUGCUUUGUACCAUUGGGAAAAUAGAAAACCACAAUCAUUGCUUUAAAGGUGAAACAAACCUAGCUCAAUGAAUGUGAACAGACUAGCGCUGUUUUAUUUCUUUUCUUUAUAAGUUAUGCUCACGAGUUGUCGAUAUUACGAACAUUCUCUGUUUGUUUAUAGUUUAGACUCAGUAAGCCAGACAAACUUCCCACUUUUCCAAAAUGCUUGCGAUGCGAUUUUUGAGAUUUUUGCUGAAAAUAUGCAUGUUAAAUUGCUUUAAUAUUUUGCUGUUUGCUGUUUAUUUGAUUGACGAAUCGAAAUAUAAUACCUGGAUUACAUCAUGUUGCUGACCCAUAGAUUUGUGCCUAUGCUUAGAUGAGUUGAUUACUAUUAUUGAUAGCACUGUGGAAUAUUUGUCAAACUGCUGAAAUAACAAACUCUCAUAACGUGUCUAAUCAAACCAGAUGUUAAAUGUUUUUGAACCAGUCAACCAAUCUUCAAAUUAGUUGUGAAUUAUUACGAUUCAAAUAAUGACGUGUUAGGAAGUAGGUAUGCAUUAUAUUACAUCAAAAAUAGUGUUCCUUGUGUGUGUAUCAGUCCAAAUAAAAACACAGUUUUGUCCGAAAAUGACUGAAGGCAGAUUUAGAAGAUGUAAGAUCUAAAAUACAUGGUCCAGUUAAGUAGUGAAGUUCAUAAUCGAAAAGUAUCUAAUUUUAUUAAGCGACGAGUAAUUCAAUAUUGGUCUACCAAGGAAUGCAUUAAAUUACUUUACAAGUAAGAAAUUUAUUUUUGUCAGCAAUUUAUACAUUCUACCCGAUAGGACGAUUCAUAGUAACAGUAUGUUUCAACGAAAAUCAGUUCAACGAAAGUCACAGAAUACUUAUACUGCUAGAAUCGAGUUCAUAGUCCCAUAAAUGUAAGUCUGUUCUACGCACUUUGUGUCGGUUUAAAAAUCGUAUGAGAUGACAUCAUUUAAUAAUUUUUGGUAUCAGCUUUUGUUAACACCUUCGACCAGUUAGGCACCUAUUGUUAUGAUUUUGAGAAACCUAAUGGCAUUGUCUUAUGAAAGAAUAGGGAUAACGACUACUUACUAGUCAAAUCGGCGACUUUUUACUUGCUUCUUACUCGCUUAGUAAGGGAGCUCGAAUGAAAUUCACAGAUGUGACGUCAUAACAUUUGACGUAAUUUAACAUAUUUCUUUUAGUUAAAUCGAUAAUUUAAAAUGGUUAGCAAUAUUAUAACUAGCAUCGAAUGCGCAUUUUAAGAACUUUGGAAGAUACUCUAUUGAAUAAUUACUAAGAAAUAAUUUAUUAUGAUGACAUAGGCAUCAUCCCCAUUGCGCUUAUGUAUACAUGUAACCAUUAACCUCUACUACAAGUGAGUAGGUACGCUGGAUUUGCGAUUGAAUAACUUAGUUUUGUAGCAAAUCAUUUUCGUCAUUCUGGUACAGUUAGCAGCAGUGAGUGAAGGUGAACUAAACGUUAGUGUUGAGAUAUCUAUCUGCCAACGCCAAUGUAGUAUCGACGAGAAGACUACCAAUUACUGAAACAGUGACAAUUUCAAUUCGUAUCAAGUUAUUGCAAAAAAAUAUUGUAAUUUGUGUAAUAUUUACAUCUUUUCUCGCGUACUUGUAUGAAUCUAAUCCUAUGCAUAUGACUUAUCUCCACUGAAUGACAAGAUUAAAGACAAAUAAUAAUUAGGGUCAGGUAGACCGAACGGUUCUAAAAUUAAUCAGACUGACUUAUGAUACCUAAUCAUGUUCUCAGUUACGCAGGCUAAUCUUGUUAGCGUAUGCUGUGUAAUACGCCUACUUGGGAAUUAAUUUACAUAGGUAGUUGAAGUUUUUAUUUUCACACUCUCAUCACGGAAAGUUUAUUUUAUUUCAUCGCCGAUCCUGUACUGACUAAAUUCAAUAUUAUAAAAUUACCUACGGAACUACAAUAUUUUACACAACAAAGCGAAAAUGAAUGUCAAUGCGUAACGAUGUAAAGUCUUACUUUCUGUAGAAGUAUUUAAUUUUCAUUACUCGGUGAUAGAUUAACAUGCAAGUUUUUGAUAUACCUACCAAUGCAAACCAGGAUAAUGUUUUCACUACUGUAGAGAAAUAUAACAGGCAUAGUUGUGGUGACUGCUCAGUCUAUGAAUAGCGGAAGAAGAGGGCACCGAGGACGGCGCCGUGGUCAGUCUGGCCGUGUUAUGAAGAACCUCCUUAGAAGUGCAACGAGACUUAUGAAGAUACCUGUCAUCUUUCGAUUGUCAUGGAUACAUCACGUCAAACAAUCAUUAAUUAAUUGUUGAUAUCUCAAGCUCUACAAUUUCGAUAUCUUCCUACGAUUAUAUUAUUCCAAAUUGCC